CGCGUCCCGCCACGGCCGCCCAGCCCGCGCCUGCCCAAGCCACCGCCUCCGGGCGGCCAAUUUAAUCCCGCGGAGCUGCGGCCGACGCCGCGGGAGCCCCCCUCGUCGCUGCCGCCGCCCGGCCCUCGUGCGGCCAGCCCAGUCCAGAGCGAGGAAGUGAAGGAGAGUCAGCGAGCUGAGGACUGUAAACGACCAGUGACAAAUCAGCCCUUGUAUCCUGGACCGGGAUCUAAGCUACAACAUCUCGCCUUGCUUCCCAGAGGCAGCAGUGUCUCCGAGUGUAGCUGUGGAUGCUUCUGUGUGCAUUCAGGAGCAGGUUUCCAAACAGUGAACUCAACAAAGACACCAAGACUACCAUUUCUCAGCCCCUUUUCAAACCUUUCUCUAUCUUUGUCUUAUAGUUCUAUACUUAUCUUAUAUUUCAAUUAUGCCACUAAAAAGUUUCUACCGGGUGAACAUACUUAGUAUAAUGUUCUCUCUUCAGCUGUUUGAGAGCAGUUUUGUGUCUGACUAGAGCCAAAGUUCUUAUCGUAGUUCUUUAAGCAUUAUACGUACUUCAUGAAUAUUUGAGGAAGGAAGGGAAGGAUGCAGAUAGGAAGAGAGAAAGAGGAAAUUAAUUGGUUGUCAAUCGCCCCUUUUAUGAGAAAUAUCAUUUUCUUUAAAAAGCUUCCUGCAGUCUCUUAUGUAGAAUAAAUUUGCUCUGCCUCUGGUCUCA